rnacentral:rRNA from 1 species
CGACAGGAGCGAAUCCCAAACCACGUCUCAGUUCGGAUCGGAGUCUGCAACCCGACUCCGUGAAGCUGGAUUCGCUAGUAAUCGCGCAUCAGCCAUGGCGCGGUGAAUACGUUCCCGGGCCUUGUACACACCGCCCGUCAAGCCAUGGGAGCCGGGGGUACCUGAAGUCCGUAACCGCGAGGAUCGGCCUAGGGUAAAACUGGUGACUGGGGCUAAGUCGUAACAAGGUACC